rfam:Steinernema glaseri strain NC unplaced genomic scaffold GLAS_2652, whole genome shotgun sequence.
UUGGGUAUGGCGACAUGGUACCUGGGACAGUGAUGGGCAAGAUAGUAGGAGGCAUAUGCUCUCUGAGUGGUGUCUUGGUUAUCGCCCUGCCCGUUCCUGUAAGUCGUUUAAA